AGAGUUUGAUCCUGGCUCAGGACGAACGCUGGCGGCGCGCCUAACACAUGCAAGUCGAACGAGAGAGAGGGAGCUUGCUUCCUCAAUCGAGUGGCGAACGGGUGAGUAACGCGUGAGGAACCUGCCUCAAAGAGGGGGACAACAGUUGGAAACGACUGCUAAUACCGCAUAAGCCCACGGCUCGGCAUCGAGCAGAGGGAAAAGGAGCAAUCCGCUUUGAGAUGGCCUCGCGUCCGAUUAGCUAGUUGGUGAGGUAACGGCCCACCAAGGCGACGAUCGGUAGCCGGACUGAGAGGUUGAACGGCCACAUUGGGACUGAGACACGGCCCAGACUCCUACGGGAGGCAGCAGUGGGGAAUAUUGCACAAUGGGGGAAACCCUGAUGCAGCGACGCCGCGUGGAGGAAGAAGGUCUUCGGAUUGUAAACUCCUGUUGUUGAGGAAGAUAAUGACGGUACUCAACAAGGAAGUGACGGCUAACUACGUGCCAGCAGCCGCGGUAAAACGUAGGUCACAAGCGUUGUCCGGAAUUACUGGGUGUAAAGGGAGCGCAGGCGGGAAGACAAGUUGGAAGUGAAAUCCAUGGGCUCAACCCAUGAACUGCUUUCAAAACUGUUUUUCUUGAGUAGUGCAGAGGUAGGCGGAAUUCCCGGUGUAGCGGUGGAAUGCGUAGAUAUCGGGAGGAACACCAGUGGCGAAGGCGGUCUACUGGGCACCAACUGACGCUGAGGCUCGAAAGCAUGGGUAGCAAACAGGAUUAGAUACCCUGGUAGUCCAUGCCGUAAACGAUGAUUACUAGGUGUUGGAGGAUUGACCCCUUCAGUGCCGCAGUUAACACAAUAAGUAAUCCACCUGGGGAGUACGACCGCAAGGUUGAAACUCAAAGGAAUUGACGGGGGCCCGCACAAGCAGUGGAGUAUGUGGUUUAAUUCGA
rnacentral:rRNA from 1 species